CCUACGGGAGGCAGCAGUGGGGAAUCUUGCGCAAUGGGCGAAAGCCUGACGCAGCCAUGCCGCGUGGAUGAUGAAGGUCUUAGGAUUGUAAAAUCCUUUCACCGGUGAAGAUAAUGACUGUAGCCGGAGAAGAAGCCCCGGCUAACUUCGUGCCAGCAGCCGCGGUAAUACGAAGGGGGCUAGCGUUGCUCGGAAUUACUGGGCGUAAGGGAGCGUAGGCGGACAUUUAAGUCAGAGGUGAAAUCCCGGAGCUUAACUUCGGAACUGCCUUUGAUACUGGGUGUCUUGAGUGUGAGAGAGGUAUGUGGAACUCCGAGUGUAGAGGUGAAAUUCGUAGAUAUUCGGAAGAACACCAGUGGCGAAGGCGACAUACUGGCUCAUUACUGACGCUGAGGCUCGAAAGCGUGGGGAGCAAACAGGAUUAGAUACCCUGGUAGUCCACGCCGUAAACGAUGAUUGCUAGUUGUCGGGAAGCUUGCUUCUCGGUGACGCAGCUAACGCAUUAAGCAAUCCGCCUGGGGAGUACGGUCGCAAGAUUAAAACUCAAAGGAAUUGACGG
rnacentral:rRNA from 1 species